CCUACAUACCUCUGGUUUGCUCUUUCAGACCCACAAAGGCAACAAGAAAGAAGUUGCUACAUUAACUGUUUCUCUGGGAUUUGAACUAGGGGGUACAUACCUCAAGUUAGCUCUUUCAUGCCAACAAAGGUCAACGUCAAAAAUGGCUCUCUUCAGAUUUGAACUCUCAAACUCUGGUUUGGGGAGCAAACGCCAUAACCACUACUCUACCACAGAGACAGACACUAGAUGUUAAGGGGUACUUCAAAAUGCACACAUCAAAGACAACAUUUCAGAGGUUAGAGAAUGGUGUGGGGGCUUGUACUUCUUGGGUCCACCAACUGUUCCUCAAUCUUCUUUUGAUGACUACAAACAGAGAUUAUGAAUCUUCAAAACCUACACUAUAGGAUGGAUGUGUUUAGGAACAGGGGAUGAAAUUCGAAAGAGGCGUAUUUCCAAUUACCAACAAAUAGACCCUAGAAAUGUUAUUCCAAAAUCUUAAUAUUGGAACUUUGGCCCUUCAUUUGCCUACUACUGCCUAUAAGCUAUCCUAACACGUGGGUUUUUUCUUGGGGACAAGGUAUCGGAACGCUUUUGAAUGGUCUACAAAGCAUGCCCCCAGGUCAAAGUUGGCUUUUGCAGACAAGGAUAAUAUAUUGUUACUCCACGGCAUAGUAUGUUAUCACAACUCUAUUAAAAGGACAUUCUAUACAAGGUGUCACUUCAGUCCUUCUAUUUGAUGGGAACUACCCCUACCCCUCAACAAACCUCAAGUUAGCUCUUUCAUGCCAACAAAAGUCAACGUCAAAAAUGGCUCUCUUCAGAUUUGAACUCUCAAACUCUGGUUUGGGGAGCAAACGCCAUAACCACUACUCUACCACAGAGACAGACACUAGAUGUUAAGGGGUACUUCAGAAUGCACACAUCAAAUACAACAUUUCAGAGGUUAGAGAAUGGUGUGGGGGCUUGUACUUCUUGGGUCCACCAACCGUUCCUCAAUCUUCUUUUGAUGACUACAAACAGAGAUUAUGAAUCUUCAAAACCUACACUAUAGGAUGGAUGUGUUUAGGAACAGGGGACGAAAUUCGAAAGAGGCGUAUUUCCAAUUACCAACAAAUAGACCCUAGAAAUGUUAUUCCAAAAUCUUAAUAUUGGAACUUUGGCCCUUCAUUUGCCUACUACUGCCUAUAAGCUAUCAUAACACGUGGGUUUUUUCUUGGGGACAAGGUAUCGGAACGCUUUUGAAUGGUCUACAAAGCAUGCCCCCAGGUCAAAGUUGGCUUUUGCAGACAAGGAUAAUAUAUUGUUACUCCACGGCAUAGUAUGUUAUCACAACUCUAUUAAAAGGACAUUCUAUACAAGGUGUCACUUCCGUCCUUCUAUUUGAUGGGAACUACCCCUACCCCCCAACAAACCUCAAGUUAGCUCUUUCAUGCCAACAAAAGGCAACAUCAGAAAUGUUUCUCUAAAAAAAAUCUCUCCUCAGAUUUGAACUCUCAAACUCUGGUUUGGGGAGCAAACACCAUAACCACUACUCUACUAGACAUGCUAUAACCACUUCUUUUCACAUGCUAUAACCUAACAACCUUAUUCUAAAAUCGAUUACCUUAAUAUUUUCCCUCAAUCUACACACAUUACCCUAUGAUCACAAAGUGAAUAUUGGGUUUAUACAUUUUAGCAAAUUAUUUACAAAUUAAAAAACAGAAAUACCUUAUUUACAUAAUGAUUCUUCCCCUUUGCAAUGAGUCUCAAAUUGAGCUCAGGUGCAUCCUGUUUCCAUUGAUCAUCCUAGAGCUGUUUCUACAACUUCAUUGGAGUACAGCUAUGGUAAAUGCAAUUGAUUUGACAUGAUUUGGAAAGGCACACACCUGUCUAUAUAAGGUCCCACAGUUGACAGUGCAUGCCAGGGCAAAAACCAAGCCAAAUCAAAUCAAAUUUUAUUUGUCACAUGCGGCAAAUACAACAGCUGUGGACCUUACCGUGAAGGUCUUACUUACAAGCCCAAACCCAACAAUGCAGGUCAAGAAAUAGAGUUAAGAAAUUGUUUCCUAAGUAAACUAAAGUCAAAAAAAUGUAUAAAUCCAUAAGUAACACAAGACAAUUACAUAACAAUAACGAGGCUAUAUAAAUGGGGUACCGGUACCGAGUCAAUGUGCGGGGGUACAGGUUAGUUGAGGUCAUUUGUAAAGUGACUUUGCAGUUAUAAUUAACAGUGAGUAGCAGCAGUGUAAAAACACUGGGGGGGUGGGGGGCUCUUUGACUAUUUUUUGGCCCUUCCUGUGACAACGCUUAAUAUAUAGGUCCUUGAUGUCAGGAAGCUUUGCCCCAGUGAUGUACUGGGCCGUACGCAUUAUGGCCAGAUGCCCAGCAGUUGCCGUACCAGGCAACCUCUCAGGAUGCUCUCGAUGGUGCAGCUGUAGAACUUUUUGAGGAUCUGGGGAUCCAUGCUAAAUAUUGUCAGUCUCCUGAGGGGGAAAGGUUUUGUCGUGCCCUCUUCACAACUGUGUUGGUGUGUUUCG
rnacentral:lncRNA from 1 species